UACGAAGGGGGCGAGCGUUGUUCGGAUUUACUGGGCGUAAAGGGCGCGCAGGCGGCUUUGUUUGUCAGGCGUGAAAGCCCCCAGCUCAACUGGGGAAGUGCCUCUGAUACUGGUCGCCUCGAGGGAGGUAGGGGCGUGCGGAACUUCCGGUGGAGCGGUGAAAUGCGUAGAUAUCGUAAGGAAGACCAGUGGCGAAGGCGGGUCUCUGGACAGUUCCUGACGCUGAGGCACGAAGGUCAGGGGAGCAAACGGG
rnacentral:rRNA from 1 species